rnacentral:rRNA from 1 species
AGUGAACGCUGGCGGUAUGCCUAACACAUGCAAGUCGAACGGCAGCACAGUAAGAGCUUGCUCUUACGGGUGGCGAGUGGCGGACGGGUGAGGAAUACAUCGGAAUCUACUUUUUCGUGGGGGAUAACGUCGGGAAACUUACGCUAAUACCGCAUACGACCUACGUGUGAAAGCAGGCGAUCUUCGGACCUUGCGCGAUUGAAUGAGCCGAUGUCGGAUUAGCUAGUUGGCGGGGUAAAGGCCCACCAAGGCGACGCUCCGUAGCUGGUCUGAGAGGAUGAUCAGCCACACUGGAACUGAGACACGGUCCAGACUCCUACGGGAGGAAGCAGUGGGGAAUAUUAGACAAUGGGCGAAAGCCUGAUCCAGCCAUACCGCGUGGGUGAAGAAGGCCUUCGGGUUGUAAAGCCCUUUUGUUGGGAAAGAAAAGCAGCAGGUUAAUACCCCGCUGUUCUGACGGUACCCAAAGAAUAAGCACCGGCUAACUUCGUG